rnacentral:rRNA from 1 species
UGCGGUUAAAACGUUCGAAGUUGAAUGUUGUCCAACAAAAAGGCCGCUACUGCCGACUUGGUUGACUCCUCGUUGGCAGGAAUGUACGGAUUCUAGUUGCGACUAACAAUGGUGCGGAAUAGGCUCAAACUGCGGAGCCCGGAUGCCCCUGACCCGGGUGUUCGGUGUUUCUGCAGUGCUCAACCGCCCACUUUACCUUGAACAAAUUAGAGUGAUCAAGGCAGGCCAUGAAUAUAUGGCCUAGAAUAAUCUUGCAUGGAAUAAUGAAAUACGACCUCGGUCUUAAUAUUUCGUUGGUUUGUCAUCAAACCGAGGUAAUGGUUAACAGAAGUAGUUUGGGGCAUAAGUAUUACGGCGCGAGAGGUGAAAUUCGUAGACCGUCGUAAGACUAACCGAAGCGAAAGCGUUUGCCAAGGAUGCUUUCUUUAAUCAAGAACGAAAGUUAGAGGAUCGAAGGCGAUUAGAUACCGCCCUAGUUCUAACCGUAAACCAUGCCAGUUAGCAAUUGGGAGACGCUACAUCCGGUGCUCUCAGUAUCUUUCGGGAAACCAAAACUGGUUCCGGGGGAAGUAUGGUUGCAAAAUUGAAACUUAAAGGAAUUGACGGAAGGGCACCACCAGGUGUGGAGCCUGCGGCUUAAUUUGACUCAACACGGAAAAACUUACCAGGUCCAAACUUACUAAUGUAAGACAGAUUGAUAGCUCUUUCUCAAAUUUAAGGGUAGUGGUGCAUGGCCGUUCUUAG